rnacentral:tRNA from 1 species
GCUAGUGUGGCUUAGUGGUUGGAGUGUUGGACUAGGACUCUGGAGACCAGGGUUUGAUUCCCAGCUCAGCC